UUAAUUUUUUUGUCCUUUGCAUUUUGUUUCACAUUUGUUGUUUCCACUUGCCUAAUGCUCCUUGGCAUUCUCACAUGGUAUAGAACCUAGCCUUGUGUAAUGGAAAUGCAGAUAAUCUUGAGAGUAAUUUCAUUACAAAGAUUUAAAGGGAGAGCUGCAAAUUCCAGCUGAAGAUUUGAAAAUUUGACAUGGUUUGUGCAAAAUCAGCAUACAUUUGCAAUCGAUUGGUGAAAUACGAUCGAUAUUUGCAAGUUCUCUUAUAUUCCUAAGAAAUAUUUGCGAGAUCCAUUGAAUUUAUUUUUGAAAUAUUUACAGAUUUGUUGAGAUAUUGAGAGAGUUUGCAGUUACAUUGAAAUUUUGAGAAAAUUUGUGAAAUUUUUUUGAAUCUUGAGGCAUAAAUUUAUAGAAAAUCUGUAGAUAUUUGCAUUAUUUGAUUAGUUCUGCAAUCUUUGCACAAAAUGUCUGGAUCUUGCCUAUUUUAUGCAAUGAAAUGCUCAGUUUCAUCUAGUCUGCUAAUCGACUAAUUUGUUUUUUGCUAUCUUUGACCUCAAAUUUGAGAAAUCUCUUGGCAUCGACCUGUACAUGCCUGGUUAUUUGGCGUCGACAACAAGAUUUGUUGAAAAUCAGCUUCUUUUUCUGCAAAUCGAUUCAAAUCUGCAGUAGUUGGGCCGAUCCUUUGGCAAAUCGACCUCUAUUUUUUGGUGGUUUCUGUCUACAUUUGCUGAGUCGACUGUGCAUCUACUUUUCGGGCGAUAUUUUUUUGCAUUUAAUUCAAAUUUGCUUUGCAAUAGUCGACGCUUCAUUGCGAAGACCUGCGCACUGGCCAGCAUUCGGAGAUUUGGUUUUUGGUGUAGGAGUGUGAUUUUUUAGUGGGCUGGCUGUGUCUCUCUGUUGUGGCGCGGGCUCCUUGCACAGCGACUUCUGAGCGCCAAACACUUUGUCGAAGACUUUGCCAGAGACUUUGGCAGGAUUUGGUUUAAAAUCUGUCUUUGAAUUCUGGCAUGAACGAAUUGUGGAAGAGGCGUGAAUGAGAAUAAAGGCGCCAAAUGCAUUGAAAGCGGCAGCUUAAAGUUUGGCAUCAAAAGAAGCAAAUUAAAACUUGAAAUCGACCCUUCAAAACCAUAUUUGGUCGACUUGCUGCCUGGGUCUAUUGCUUCAGCCUUCAAUGCCUUCAAACUGUGUAGGCAAGAAUUCUGUGAGGUAAAGAGUAUUUUGUGUAGCAUCAUUUCAAUUUCAACUGCGCGGCAUUUCAAGCUACAUUUGAAGACUUUAAAAUUGUCUUGGGCGGCCAGUGACUCAAAGUCAAAUAAAUUUGCAGCAGAAAAUUGCCUUGGGUGGCUAGUGACAUCCAAGCCGACCUCGAAUAGUCGCUUCUACCGUUCCAAAUUGGACUGCAUUGAAUUGGCAUUUGAUUUUGAGAGGGAAUAUGAAUUUAAAAUUGGAACCUACUUUGCCUUUGUCUUUGCUUGUGACGGCUGUCAAAUUAAAUCACAAGUUUAUCAGCAUUA